rnacentral:rRNA from 1 species
ACCCGCUGAACUUAAGCAUAUCAAUAAGCGGAGGAAAAGAAACCAACAGGGAUUGCCCCAGUAACGGCGAGUGAAGCGGCAUCAGCUCAAAUUUGAAAUCUGGGGCCCCCAGGCCUCCGAGUUGUAAUUUGGAGAGGCAUCUUCGGGGAGGGGGCGCGGGCCCAUGUUCCUUGGAACAGGACGUCGCAGAGGGUGAGAAUCCCGUGCCAGGCCGGCUGCCUCCGCCCCAGUGAAGGGCCUUCGACGAGUCGAGUUGUUUGGGAAUGCAGCUCCAAGUGGGUGGUAAAUUUCAUCUAAAGCUAAAUACCGGCGGGAGACCGAUAGCGCACAAGUAGAGUGAUCGAAAGAUGAAAAGCACUUUGAAAAUAGAGUCAAAAAGUACGUGAAAUUGUUGAAAGGGAAGCGCUUGAGACCAGACUCGGACCCGGGCAAACAUCGCGCCCCCCGGGGCCGUGCAAUUGCCUGGGGCCGGGCCAGCAUCGGUUGGCGUGGCGGGACAAAGGCGCGGGGAAUGUGGCUCCCCUCGGGGAGUGUUAUUAGGCCCGCGCCCAAUGCCGCCUACGCCGACUGAGGACCGCGCCGCCCGGCUAGGAUGCUGGCUUAAUGGUCUUCAGCGA